rnacentral:rRNA from 1 species
UACGUAGGGGGCAAGCGUUGUCCGGAAUUAUUGGGCGUAAAGAGCGUGUAGGCGGCUCGGUAAGUCUGCUGUGAAAGUCCAGGGCUCAACCCUGGAAUGCCGGUGGAUACUGUCGAGCUCGAGUCCGGAAGAGGCGAGUGGAAUUCCUGGUGUAGCGGUGAAAUGCGCAGAUAUCAGGAGGAACACCAAUGGCGAAGGCCGCUCGCUGGGACGGUACUGACGCUGAGACGCGAAAGCGUGGGGAGCAAACAGG